rnacentral:lncRNA from 1 species
GUCCCCAGAACGGAUCUUUAGGAGCUGAAGGAAGAAAGAGUUGAUGCCUGGAUUGGGGAGUGGCCCACGAGUUUCCGGCACUCUUCUCUCUCUCCUUGUAAGGAGAACCCGACUCUGUUUCCUGCUAGCCUGUGGACUACAGGCCCUCACUCCACUCUGAACGUGGGGCAAACAGCUCUCUCAGCUGCAUGGGGAUCUGAGGGAGGCCCCUGUCCCUCCCUGCCCGGGAGCACUAGCACAGCAAUAGCACAGGAAGGGGGCUCAUGUUCUGGAGUCAGAGAGACCCGUGUUCAGAUCUUGACUCUUUUACCUGCUGAACAAGUGAAAUAACAUCUCUGAACCUUGAGUUCCCCAUCCGUGAAAUGGGAAUGACACCAGCCUUGAAGGAUUGAAUGACACACCACUUGUGGCACGCCUAGGACAGUGCUUGGCAUUACUCAGUACCUUCUAGUGGGCAGAUUCGGUGGCCCCCUGGGCAGGGUAUGGACCUACCUGCAUGGUGACAUUGGCCGUCUCCACCGGCACACAGUGCAGAUUCUCAUCGCCGCAGCAGCCGGUGCAGCGCAGCAGGGAGACACAGGAUGGGCUGAACAUGUGCUCCACCUCGCUGGGGUACUCGGACACGACGUCCACCAGCCUCUCCAGCGCCCGGCAGUAGCUGCGGCCCCACACUUCCUGGAAGGGUACCACUGCGAGGAAGCAAGGGGGCUGGGUCAGGCCAGCAGAGACCUGCCCCUUGAAGCCCUAAACCUGGCUCCCAAGGCCCUGCUGGCCUUCCAGGUUCAGCCCCCAGCCCCAUCCGAGCUCCCUCAACUCUGAACUCCUAAUGUGAUCCCUCCGAAAUGCCUGCGGGCCCCUUAGCUCAUCUGCUGGAUGGAAAUCCCCAUGGAACAGAAUCUCUCAGGGUCCCAAGCUUUGCUCUGUCCUCAACUCAGGCACCCACGUCUGCCUUGGCUCCCUGGAGCUUUGAGGAUUGUAGCCCCGGCAGCUACCCAGGCCCUCUGGAUCUUUCUCAAGCCUGACCCGGUGCUUCCUCCAACUUGGAGAACUUGCAGAAAACAGUCAUUCCUGGAGUCAUGCAGGGAGGGUUGGCCUUCCCUUAUUCCUCUGCUCAAACACCUUCCACGGCUCCCUCAUUUCCUGCCCCACUCUGUGCCAGCUCCUCUGCCUGGCAACCAAGACCACAUCCAGCAAUGUGGCCCGACCCUCCUCUCCACUGAGUCCAACCAGCGCUCACACUGAGCCACGGCAGCACCACAUUCACUCCCAGCUCUGGCUUGUGCACUCUGCAGCCCGUACAGCUGCUCUUCUUCCCCCUCCUCUCAUUUCUAUCCAAAUAAAGUCCACCCGCCAUUUUCCACGACCUGCCUCCCCACCUCCUCUUUGAAGACUUCCCCAGCAAUUCCAGUGCA